GCUUGCAGUGAACUGAGAUCUGGCCACUGCACUCCAGCCUGGGUGACAGAGCGAGACUCCGUCUCAAAAAAAAAAAAAAGAAAAGAAAAGAAAACAACCAACCUAUAACUAACUUCCUGGGAAUAAAGUUUCAGGUAGAAGAAAAUUUGAUGAAACCUGGAAAACAUAAGUGGUCAUUUAAAUUGUCAGUACACAAAGAUACAAAAAAAUCCAGUAUGGGGCACGCAAAGCUGCUCCUGGAGUGGUUUUCCAUUUGCAGUGGAGGCCUCAACAGUCCUUCACCAUCUUCUCCUGUGGCUGUGCCAUUCUUUACCCCACCCCUGGUUGGCAUCAAUGGAGACAUAGCCACUUGACUUUCAGACUAUUUUUGGCCCUCCCUGGGUCAUUUUCCUUCGUGUUCUUUUGGAUCAAGAUAUUUCCAUGUUAUAUCUAAAUAUUUAUUCUUGAGUUUUAAACCCACUGGCUACUUCCUGCUUCUCUCUCAAGCCUUAGCUCAUAUGCUGCUCCCUCCGAGUGAUCUUCCUUGACCUUCUUGACUAGGUUGGUUCAAGGUUAUUGGAACUAUGUGCUCUCCCCACAUCAUCCAGUACAUCCCCUAUUGUAACAUGUAUUCACUUAUUCAUUCAACAAGUAUUUCCUGCAUCGAGUCCCUGCAACGUACCAGAUGCCCCCAGUUAGUCUACUCCAUUAAACUUUGCAUGCUUGGAGCCCCUGGUCUCAGCACCCUCAGUUGCACAAGCCGGCCUGCAGCACCUAUACAGCACCAUAGGAGUCCCCUGCAGAGCUGCGACUUCGAGUGGGUAUAGUGACGGAACUCAAGUCCUUCAAGGGAUGAGCACUCCAGCUUUGAAACCACAACCAGCCUGUAAGUGUGGACGAAAAGGCAGCUGCAUGUUAUAAAACAGUAUCACUCAUACUUUCGGAUCAAGCUUCUUUCAGUCCCAUGGGUAGGAAGGAGGGGCAAUUUGCUGAAGCCCACUGCCCUUCCAGUACUCACAAGCCAAGGGCCCGGUGGGACCUGUUUCACAGGACUCAUGCUCAUGGCAGCUGAGCACAUCUGUCCUAUAUGUCUGCCAGCAGCCACGACCCUCUCCUGUGAUGACAGCCUUGACGCUAUUUAGAAACUCCAUUUCCGAUUGCAUCUCACUGCUGAAUGGUCCUGGACUCCUUUAUUGGCCCUUGCCCCAUCACAAGAGAGAGCCAGCCACAGCCACUUUUAUCUUGACAACAUACUAAAUAGUGACAGAACAAACAGGCAAGUUGUAGACUCACCAGGAUUUAUACAUAUUUCAUUUUUUAUUACCAAUCAAAAAUAAAUUCCAUAUAUCGUU